AACAAACGCUGGCGGCGUGUCUUAAGCAUGCAAGUCGAGCGGCAAGGGCAGCAAUGCCCCUAGAGCGGCGGACUGGUGAGUAACGCGUGGGUGAUCUACCUAGGGCAUGGGGAUAGCCAUUAGAAAUAGUGGGUAAUACCGAAUACGCUCGCAUGGAUGCGUCCAUGCGAGGAAAGGUGCUACGGCACCGGCCUAUGAUGAGCUUGCGUCUGAUUAGCUAGUUGGUGAGGUAAAGGCCCACCAAGGCGAUGAUCGGUAGCCGGCCUGAGAGGGUGUACGGCCACACUGGGACUGAGAUACGGCUCAGACUCCUACGGGAGGCAGCAGCUAAGAAUAUUCCGCAAUGGACGAAAGUCUGACGGAGCGACGCCGCGUGGAUGAUGAAGGCCGAAAGGUUGUAAAGUCCUUUUGCUGGGGAAGAAUAAGCGUGGGAGGGAAUGCCCGCGUGAUGACAUGAACCGGCGAAUAAGCCCCGGCUAACUACGU
rnacentral:rRNA from 1 species